GGCAGGCUGCUGAGAGGGCAGGGCCUUUCCCCCCAUGGUUCCCUGCUGUUUCUUUGUGGCCAUGCUGGCCCCUCUGGUGUUAGCCCUGGAACAGUCUCCAGACAUGGUGAUCAAAGAAGGCCAGUCUGUGAAACUGGAAUGCUCUGAGAAAAAAUCCUCCAACAGAGUUAUGUACUGGUUUCGGCAGCCUUCACAGAAGAAUUCCAGUCUGACCCAGUUGGUUUAUGCAUAUGAAGGUCUUAAUGCAGAGGUGGAGAAGGGUUUUGAGAGGCAUUUCAAGAGCAGCAAGAUAGAAGGAGACAGGAUCACCCUCUCAAUAGAACAUGCCUUUCUCAAUGACUCUGGCACAUACUACUGCGCUGAGAGUGAACACAGUGGCAGCUGGGGGAAUGAAUGCAAUGGGACACACUCAGACCUGCAGCAGAGGAUUUGGGAGGAGCUGCAGGCAUUGCUGCUCUCCUCUGCUGACAGCACACAGGGGAACAUCUUCAGUGCAAAGCCCUUCAGAGCCCUGGGCAGUCGGAUCCCUUGA